rnacentral:rRNA from 1 species
AUUGCCCCAGUAACGGCGAGUGAAGCGGCAACAGCUCAAAUUUGAAAUCUGGCCCCCAGGGCCCGAGUUGUACUUUGCAGAGGAUGCUUUGGGCGAGGUGCCUUCCGAGUUCCCUGGAACGGGACGCCAUAGAGGGUGAGAGCCCCGUCUGGUCGGACACCGAGCCUGUGUAAAGCUCCUUCGACGAGUCGAGUAGUUUGGGAAUGCUGCUCAAAAUGGGAGGUAUAUGUCUUCUAAAGCUAAAUAUUGGCCAGAGACCGAUAGCGCACAAGUAGAGUGAUCGAAAGAUGAAAAGCACUUUGAAAAGAGGGUUAAAAAGUACGUGAAAUUGUUGAAAGGGAAGCGCCUAUGACCAGACUUGGGCCCGGUGAAUCAUCCAGCGUUCUCGCUGGUGCACUUUGCCGGGCACAGGCCAGCAUCAGUUUGGCGCGGGGGACAAAGGCUUCGGGAAUGUAGCUCCCUCGGGAGUGUUAUAGCCCGCUGCGCAAUGCCCUGCGCCGGACUGAGGUACGCGCAUCGCAAGGAUGCUGGCGUAAUGGUCAUCAGCGACCCGUCUUGAAACACGGACCAAGGAGUCGUCUUCGUAUGCGAGUGUUCGGGUGUCAAACCCCUACGCGUAAUGAAAGUGAACGUAGGUGAGAGCUUCGGCGCAUCAUCGACCGAUCCUGAUGUUCUCGGAUGGAUUUGAGUAAGAGCAUACGGGGCCGGACCCGAAAGAAGGUGAACUAUGCCUGUAUAGGGUGAAGCCAGAGGAAACUCUGGUGGAGGCUCGCAGCGGUUCUGACGUGCGAAUCGAUCGUCAAAUAUGGGCAUGGGGGCGAAAGACUAAUCGAACCUUCUAGUAGCUGGUUUC